rnacentral:lncRNA from 1 species
GGGGAAGUCAUGAACUGAUGGGAAAUUCCUUGAUUAAGCAAUAUUGCCUAGAGAUAGGGGUAGGACGAUCAAUUUUAUUUUGCUUAUGUGAUAUAAUGCAUUGGUAAUCACUUAGGGAGACUAGAGAUAGUAAACUAGUGGUUAGUAAUAGGCUCUUUUCGUCGAGAGAUCGGGUUUAGGGUAGACUAAGAAAGUUUGCAUGACAAUUAGAUAAUAAAGAGAAUUUAAUAAGAAAAUUAGAUAUAAGAGAAUGGAUAAGAUGAAAUUGUAAA